AUUUGCUGCAAUGUUGUUACCGUCAAUUUUGGAGUUUUCAAGGUGGAGGCAGAAAUGUAGGAUAUCGUGUGCUGCAUCACUGGCUCUGUCUGUUCUGUGGUAUGCGAAAGAUGGGAUGUGCUUGGAGUAAUUUUUGACGGAGUCAGAAUAAAAACUGAUGCUUUUGGAAUCCACCGAUCUGGUGCUGUUCAAAACUCUAAGAAUAGAAGAUAUCGUUGCAGCAGUCGAUGUGGGUGCGGAGGAGCUUUUUAGAGUUGUUUUAUCAAGAGCUUUAGAAAUUAAGGACGACGAUGUUAACAGAGAAUCGGAAUUGUAUUCUGACACACUGCUGCUCGAGCUCUGUAGAGUUUUGAGUUGGGAAGUGAAAAUUUGGAUCAUCUUCGUACUUGAAAUCGCAAAAGAGGUUAACAUCAUCGCUUCGUGUAACGCUGAAUAUAUACUUGUUUGUUGGAGCUUAGAAGAUUCAAUGCUCUUAACCAUUGUUGAAUUCGCUGAAACCCCAACAGCAGCCGAUAAUGAAGCCUUGCUUGAUUUUAGCAACGAUAAAGUGGAUUGGCCUAAUGUGCUCAACGCUAAGUCGGAAUUGUAGAGCGUUGAACGAGAUAUUUUGUUGUAUUGUGAUGUCAGUUGUAUAAGGACAUCAGAAUUGAAAUACGUUGAUGCUUUAAGGACUUGCAUUGAGGAUUGAUUUGUCUGUGACGUAAUCACACUGUUGGUUACUGAAUUCAAAGCAUUAAACCAACUGGAGGUUGCUGCAGGCUGUUGGAUCAGGGAAGAGGUUGCUGCAGGCUGUUGAAUCAGGGAAGAGGCUGAAAAAAGAUAGUACAUUUAUUAUUACUUGCCUUAAAGUGGAUUUCCACUUGAUUCGCUCUGGUCGCACGACUGAGCAAAUGCACAUUCGAGCAUACGCAAAUUUAACUUCUUCUUUCGCUGCAAAUACGCUAUCAGUCGUGUUCGCUGAUUUGUCGAUUCGCUUUGGCUCUGUAGAUGAUGGCUAACAUUGCCAAAUAAACAAUUUCAACCGGAAUAGUUAAACCGAGCAGUGUUCCCGUACCAUAAAUUCAGUUCAAGAUAAACAAGAGGGAAACAAACUGGUUAUGAUUCUAAGGUUCUCUCAAACGGUCAUAUUAGAAAACAGUGAAUCUACAAUCUAGAUUCCAAUAUAAACGAUUAAAAAUCGAUAUCCAUAAUAUAUUCUCUAGACACAUACAAUUUUAAUUCCGUACACGCGUUCGUGUUCCAAUCGAAAAAGAAAACAAUCUCCAUCCAAGCAAUCCAACAAUCAAAAUCAUAUCAAAGAAUGCCUCCCCCAACCUCGAUUAAAUCUCUUCACAUACUUCACGGAAAUAAACUAAACAAUACUCAAUAUUUACUACACGUCCUCCGCAGAGUCUCCAUGUUUUCUAACAGUAGAUUCGCUUUGGCCAAAGUCGCGCACCUAGAGCAAAUCAAGUGGAAACUGGCCUCUUUAUAGAUUAUACCAGCAUAUGUAACACUUUACACUUAAAACUGUAACCAUAGAGAUAAUUUGCAACCCUGUGACCAUAUAUUAGCAAUACAAAUAGGAAGUGGACUGGGUUUGAGUAACCUGAUGUAGGUUCCAGGGACAGACAAAAAAAGGCGAAUCAACAGAUACGAAAUUGACUUAAACCACCUGUCAAUCACUAUUAGCCAAUCAAUAAGCGAUUGAGUGGAACCACACUCACUGAUUGGUCGAUUCAGGAUGUCGAUUGCCUUUAACGAAAAGGAAUAAUUGAUCAUGUCUGAAGCUUCCUCGAAAACGCAACUACUGCCCUCAGUAUUCUUACUUGAAAUUAAAGACUGAUAAAAGGAACUGAUCAAAUAAAUCUUGUUCAACUUACGACGUAUUCGAAGAUCUGUAUCGGAUGAUAUUUCCACGCCAGCACCAUCAAACAUCACCUUGCAUCUAAAGACCCCUUGAUCAGAAAGUAUUGUACUGUUGAACCGCAUUGUCAUUUGUUCAUGGUAGUCCAACCGGUCUCGGUAGAUACCAAUCCACAAAUAAUUGAAUUUCGGUAUUGUGAUAAUGUACUGAUUGAAAGUCUCAUAUUCCGGGAAGUACUUCUCAAAUUGAAUCCGGAAGAUCGGAUGAAUGCUCGGGACCGUCCAUCUUAGCUCUACUUUCUCCGGCGGUGUGAAGUAAACAACAGGGCCUGGCGUGUAAAUGAAUGUGUAGUUUGCUGCCGUGUACCCUGGAAAAAGAUACGAUCAGAAGUGUCAUUAUGAUGGGAGUAAACAUGAACGGAAGGAUUGGGGGGGGGGUGCACUUUGAUUUCAUUAACAUGUUGAAUCCUAAAGGAUCUUGGCAUCGUAACGAGCAUGACAAAAUCUAAGGGGGUAGAUGAUACCCAGUUACAUUAAAGAGAUAGAUCGUACCAAGUUAAGAAAUCUUCGCAGGCCAUUUUUUUUUCAAGCCCCUUCCAUUACCAUCCUGAAUGGAAUGUUAUGAUUUAUGGCGAAGCAUAUUUGUGCAAAAAACUAUAAUGGCGACAUUUUUCGGAUUAUUGGUAAAGCCCGAUCGUCGUUCCACCUAGCAGUUUUAGAAUCUAUCUACAUAAGCACGAAAAAACCGCUACUGUGUAGACAAAAGGAGUUCGUUUUCACCUUAGGACUCCAUUGGUAACAUUCUAAUAGGCAAACGGCACUGAUUGGUUAACCUUUACAGUCAUGUGCUCGUGUUUCUGAUUGGCCUAUUUCGAUCCACAAUUGGGUAUAUAUUUCUUAGCGUAGAGUUUUUGAUCUAUGUUCUGACGUUUUAAACUCUGAAGAGUGUCAGACGAAAAGCUUUAGUUUACUAAAUGUUUGCUUUUUUCAAAGCCAUUUACGAAGCAUAAUUAUUAGAUGUGAGCGAGUAACGUUAAUUUUUCUGUUUUACGACAGGUGAAUUACUUUGUGUGUUCCCUGCGAUACAGAACAUAAUGAGAACCUUACCCAUCAAAUUUUUGGCAGAUAAAAUAGGGGCAAAAUAUUAGUUAAGUGGUACCAAAUAUUUGGUUCUUCGAAUAAGCUUUAUUUUCAUUUGCUUGCUUCUCGCCAUCUGUUGGUCCUGCCAAUCAUUAAUUUUACUACUAGCAGUUUUUCCCGACAUAUUUCCUUUUAUUUCUUCAAAAAGGUGUGUAACGGUUUGGAUUUUAUAUUUAUUCAAUUUAGUAAUGUUCCGGUUGCGUGUUAGAGUCACAUGUUCUGUUAAGUCCUGUUGUGUUAGUGAACAACGCCUUUUUAUGGCAAUGUGUUUGUCUUUUAACAUGUAGUGUGACGCUCGUAUUGUCCUGUUAAUUAGCUUCAAUUUAUGUUAAUAGUAUGUGUUGAUCACGAAUCACGAUAUAAGUUAGUCUUUCUGUUGGAUCAUUUGAGAAAACAUCAAAGAACGAUAUCUUUUGUGUGCUACUUAUUCAGGGCCUAUCCCAUCCCUCCACCCACGGGCUUGUUAUACACCGGUUAUUCACCUAUUCACCGUCAUGAGAAGAAUCCUGACCGUUACAGGUGAAAAUUAAAAUUCGACGAUUUCCUGCGCAAGAGAUGGCUUUGCAACCACAGCUUAUUGACGGGGUUAUGCCAAUCAAUUUCACUUCAAGUAGCAAAUAUUUUCGACUCGACUUUAUCUUAUCAUUUACCAGCCACAUAGAUCUUAGUAUUUAUUUUCAUCCCUGCUAUCAUCCCCUAUCUUUUAGCUGAAUGACCAAGUAAUUAAAAGCAAACACCGAAAAAUUCGAGUCCAAGCACUCAUGCCCUAGAAACGAGAUUUUUAUGGACCCGCCGCCCAUCAAAGACGACUUCAAGGAUUUUCUGCUUAAUUGCUCGGUAUCUUUUUUGCUUUUGUAAGUCUCAGUCAUCUUUCAUUGUUUUCGAUUUUCGUCGCAAACUGCUUGUGUUUUGUGGAUUCUUUCUAUUGCUUUACUUUGCUGGGUUCCGUGACAUAGCGGCGCUCCUGUUUAAUAGUGGAAUCUAGAAAUAAUGAAUUUUUCAAUAAACUAACAGCCUUAUUCUUAAGUUCAAAUUGCGCUCAGUAUUACCCAGCAUGCCAUUAGGUAUGCACAACGCCUGCUUAAAUCGAGCAAAAAACUCAGAAUGCAGCAAAUUGUAGAGAAAUUAACGUAUUAGGAUAGGUGAAAAGAAUUUAAAUGCCUCUGACUGAUUUGAUUAUAUAAACACAUUUUUGUUUGCCUGGACGUCUUGAGAAAAAACAUUGUCCAAUGUAGUUUCACGUGUCUAGCCUAACUUUAGUCAGGGGGUCAUGUAAUGGCAUCUACUAAGGAAUUAUUUCCUUGUUCAGUACAUCAGAUCUAUGUAGAAAAGAGUCAUCUUGUAUCCUCGGCUACAGAAUGUUUCUUUUAAGUUUCAGAAAUAAAAAGAAAGGAUGUUUUUAAAAACCAAAGCGCAGAGAGAAAGGCAUUUCCUAAAAUGAGCUUAACCGUUUUUAAUAGAAUUUCAAGUCUCAAACGUACUAAAACAAAAUAGUUCAUUAAAAAUAUUUUCCAACCAGGUCCAGCUUAAGAAUAAAUUCAGAAUGAGCUUAGGCUCAAAAUGAAAAAAUUGUUAGAUGAAUUGUAUUGAGGCUAGAAGUAAAUUAGGUAUUCUUAUAUAAGAAGUAUGUACAGGGAGAUGGUUAAUUAUCUUUGAUAUAUACAACAUAGUUAUAC